AUUGAACGCUGGCGGCAUGCCUUACACAUGCCAGUCGAACGGUAACGGGCCUUCGGGUGCCGACGAGUGGCGAACGGGUGAGUAAUACAUCGGAACGUGCCCGAUCGUGGGGGAUAACGAGGCGAAAGCUUUGCUAAUACCGCAUACGAUCUACGGAUGAAAGCAGGGGACCGCAAGGCCUUGCGCGGACGGAGCGGCCGAUGGCAGAUUAGGUAGUUGGUGGGAUAAAAGCUUACCAAGCCGACGAUCUGUAGCUGGUCUGAGAGGAUGAUCAGCCACACUGGGACUGAGACACGGCCCAGACUCCUACGGGAGGCAGCAGUGGGGAAUUUUGGACAAUGGGCGCAAGCCUGAUCCAGCCAUGCCGCGUGCAGGAUGAAGGCCUUCGGGUUUUAAACUGCUUUUGUACGGAACGAAAAGCCUUCUUUUAAUACAGGAGGGUCAUGACGGUACCGUAAGAAUAAGCACCGGCUAACUACGUG
rnacentral:rRNA from 1 species